GUUUAGGUUUAAGGGUUUAGGGUUUUAGGUUAAGGUUUAGGUUUAGGGUAGGUGUUAGGUUUAGGGUUUAGGUUAGGGUUUUAGGGUUUAGGGUUUAAGGGUUUAGGGUUUAGGGGUUUAGGGUUUAGGUUUAAGGUUUAAUGGUUUAGUGUUUAGGGUUUAGGGUUUAGGGUUUAGUUUAGGUUUUAGGGUCUUAGGGUUUAGGGUUAGGUUUAGCGCUUUUUGUUUAGGGUUCUUAGGUUUAAGGGUUUAGGUUUAGGUUUAGGUUAGGGUUUAGGUUUAGGGUUUUAGGGUUUAGGUUUAAGGUUUAGGGUUACGGGUCUAGGGUUUAGGUCUUAGGUUUUAGGGUUUUAGGUUUGGGUUUAGGGGUUUAAGGGUUUAGGGUUUAGGUUAGGGUUUAGGAGUUUUAAUGGGUUUAGGUUUAGGUUUAGGGUAUUAAGGGUUUAGGGUUUAGGUUAGGGUUUAGGGUUAGGUUUCUCAGGGUUUAGGUAGGUUUAGGGUUAGGGGUUAGGGUGUUAGGGUUUAGGGUUUAGGUUUAGGUUAGGUUUAGGGUUUAGGGUUUAAUGGGUUUAGGUUUUAGGUUUAGGGUUAGGGUUAGGUUUAGGGUUUAGGGUUAGGGUUUAGGGUUUAGUUUAGGGUUUAGGGUUUAGGAGUGUAUGAGGUUUAGGGUUUAGGGUUUAGGGUUUAGGGUUUAGGGUUUAGGGUUUAGGUUUGGUUUAGGUUUAGGUUUAGGGUUUAUUGGGUUUAUGGUUUUGGUGUUUAGUUACGGGUUUUAAGGGUUUUAGCGGUUAGCUUAGGGUUAUAGGGUUUAGGGUUUUAGGGUUUACGUUAGGGUUUCAGGGUUUAGGUUUGAGGGUUUAGGGUUUUAAGGUUAGGGUUUAGGGGUUUAGGGUUUGGGUUUAAGGGUAGGGUUUAGGGUUUAGGUUUUAGGGUUUAGGUUUCGUUAAGGUUUACGGGUUAGGUUUAGGUUUAGUUUAGGGUUUAGGGUUAGGGUUUAGGGUUUAGGGUUAGGUUUUAGGGUUUAGGGUUUAGUUUAUGGUUUAGGGUUUAGGUUUAGGGUUUAGCGGUUUAAGGUAGGGUUUUAGGGUUUAGGGCUUAGGGUUAGGUUUUAGGGUUAGGGCUUGAGGGUUUAGGGUUUAGGGUAGGGUUUAGGGUUUAGGGUUAGGGUUUAGGUUAGGGUUUAGGGCCUUUAGGGUUUAGGGUUUAGGGUUAGGGUUAGGGGUUUUAGGGUUUUAGGGUUUAGGGUUAAGGUUUAGGGUUUAGGUUAGGGUUUUAGGGUUUAGGGUUUAGGUUUAGGGUUAGUUUAGGGUUUAGGGUUUAGGGUUAGGGUUUAGGUUAGGUUUAGGGUUUAGGGUUUAGGUUUAGGGUUUUAGGUUUUAGGUUUAGGGUUUAGGGUUUAAGGGUUUAGGGUUUAAGGGUUUAGGGCUUUAGGGUUUUAAGGGUUUAGGGUUAGGGUUCAGGGUUUAGGGUUUAGGGUUAUAGGGUUUAGGUAGGGUUUAGGGUUAGGAGUUUAGGGUUUAGGGUUGGGUUUAGGGUUUAGGGUUUAGGUUUUAGGGUUAGUUUCAGUUAGGGUUUAGGGUUUAGGGUUAGGUUAUGGUUUAGGUUCUGGUUAGGGUUUAGGGUUUAGGGUUUAGGGUUAGUGGUUUUAGGUUUAGGGUUUAGGGUUUAGGUUUAGGUUUAGGUUUAGGGUUUUAGGUUUUAUGGUUUAGGGUUUGGGUUUAAGGGGUUUUGGGUUAGGGUUUAGGGUCUUAGGUUUACGCGUUUAGGUUUAGGUUUAGGGUUUAGGUUUAGUUUAGGUUUAUGGUUUUAGGGUUUAGGUUUUAGGGUUAAUGUUGUAGGGUUUAGUUAGGUUUAGGGUUUAGGUUAGGUUUAGGGUUUAGGGUUAGGGUUUAGGGUUAGGGUUUUAGGGUUAGGGUUAGGGUUUAGGGUUUAGGGUUAGGGUUUAAAAGGGUAGGGUUAGGGUUUAAGGGUUUUAGGGUUUAAGGGUUUAGGUUUAGGGUUUAGGUUCAGGGUUAGGGUUUAAGGGCUUUAAGGGCUUCUUAGGGUUUAGGGUGUAGGGUUUAGGUUCUUAGGGUUUAGGGUCUUAGGGUUAAGGUUUAGGGGUUUUAGGGUUAGGUUUAGGGUAUUAAGGGUUUAGGGUUUAGGUUUAGGUUUUAGGGUUAGGGUUUAAAAGGGUUUAGUUAGGUAGUAGGGUCUUAAGGUUUGAGGGUUUAGGUUAGGGUUGUAAGGGUUUAGUUAGGGUUUAGGGUUUGGGUUAGGGUUUAGGGUUAGGUUUAGGGUUUUAGGGAUUAGGGUUUAGAGGUUUAGGUUUAGGGUUUAGGUUAGGUUUAGGUUUAGGUUUAGGGUUUAGGGUUUCAGGGUUAGGUUAGGGUUUAGGUUUAGGUUAGGGUUUAGGGUUAGGUUUAGGUUUAGGUUAGUGGUUUAGGGUUUAGGGUUUAUGGUUUAGGGUUAGGGUUUAAGGGUUUAGGGUUUAGGGUUUAGGGUUUAGCGCUUUAGGGUUAGGGUUUUAGGGUUAGGGUUAGGGUUUAGGUUGAGGGUUUUUUAGGGUUUAGGUUUAGGUAGGUGUUUUUAGGUUAAGGUUUAGGGUUUGGGUUUAGGUAUUAGGGCUUUAGGGUAUAGGUUAGGGUUAGGGUAUUAGGUGUCAUUAGGUUUGGGUAUUUAGUUUAGGGAUUUUUUUUCCUCUUAGGGUUUAGGGUUUAGGUUUUAGGUUAGGGUUAGGUUUAGGGUUUAGGAGUUUUAUAGGUUUAGGGUAGCGGUUUAGGGUUAGGGUUAAGGGUUUAGGUUUAGGGUUUAGGUUAGGUAGGGGUUAAGGUUAGGUUUAGGGUUUAGGGUUUAGGGUUAGGGUUAGGUUAGGUUGAGGGUUAGGUCUUAGGGUUUAGGGUUAAGGGUUAGCGUUUAGGUUGGGUUUAAGGGUUAGGGUUUAGGGUUAGGGUUUAGGGUUUAGGAGUUAGGUUUGAGGGUUAGGGUUUAGGGUUUAGGGUUUAGGUUUAGGGAUUAGGGUUUAGGGGUUAUGGUUUAGGUUGGGUUUAGGGUUAGGGUUUAGGUUUGGUUUAGGGUAGGGUUCGGGUUUAGGUUUAGGGUUAGGGUUAGGUUUAAGGUUUAGGGUUUAGGGUUAAGGGUUUAGGGUUUUAGGUUUUAGGGUUUAGGGUUAGGGAUUUAGGGUUAGGGUUUAGGGUUUAGGUUAGGUUUAGGUUUAGGUUUAGUGUUUAGCGUUAGGUUUAUGUUUAGGGUUAGGGUUAGGUUUAGGGUUUAGGGUUUAGGGUUUAUGGGUUAGGUUUAGGUUAGGUUUAGCGUUUAGGGUUAGGGUUUAGGGUUUAAAGGGUUUAGUUUAGGUUUUAGGAGCUUAGGUUAGGUUAGGUUUUAGGGUUUAGGGUUUAGGGUUUAGGGUUUAGGGUUUAGGUUUAGGUUUGGGUUUAGGGUUAAGAGGUUUUAGGGUUAGGUUUAGGGUUAGGUUUAGGGUGAGGGUUUAGGGUUUAGGGUUAGGGUUUUCGGGUUUAGGGUUAGGUUUAGGGUUUAGGUUGAGGGUUAGGGUUUAUGGGUCUCUAGGUAGAGGUUUAGGGUUUAGGGUUUAGGGUUUUAGGUUUAGGGUUAGGUUAGGGUUUACGGGUUUUAGGGUUAGGUUUUAGGGUUAGGGUUAGGGUUAGAUUUAGUGUUUAGGUUUAGGAUUUAGGGAUUUAGGUUACGGGUUUUAGGGUUAGGGUUAUAGGGUUUGAGGUUUAGGGUUUAGGGUUAGGGUUUAGGUUUAAGUUAGGGUUUAGGGUUUAGGGUUAGGUUUAGGUUUAAGGUUUAGGGUUAAGGAGUUAGGGUUAGGUUUUAGGUUUAGGUUAUAGGGUUUUCAGGGUUUAGGUUUAGGGUUUAGGUUUAGGUUUAGGUUUAGGGUUUAGGUUAGGUUUAGGUUUAGGUUUAGGGUUUAUGGGCAUUUAGGGUCUUAGGUUUAGGUUUAGGGUUAGCGGUUUAGGUUUAGUUUAGGGUUUAGGUUUCUAGGUUUAGGGUUUUAGGUUUAGGUUUAGUGUUUAGGUUAGGGUUCUAGGGUUUAGGGUUUAGGUUUAGGGUUUAGGGUUUAAGGGUCUUAGGGUUUAGGGUUUAGGGUUAGGGUUUAGGUUUAGGUUUAGGUUAGGUUUAAGGGUUUAGGGUUAGGGUUAUAUGGGUUUAGGGUUUAGGGUUUAGGUUUAGGGUUUAGGGUUUAGGGUUUAGGGUUUAGGUUAGCGCGUUAAGGUUUUAGGGUCUUAGGGUUUUAUGGGUUAGGUGGAGGUUUAGGUUUAGGGUUUAGGGUUAGGGUUUAGGUUUAGUUUAUAGUUUAGGGUUUUUAGGUUUAGGGUUUAGGUUAGGGUUAGUUUUAGGGUUUAGGGUUUAGGGUUUAGGUUUAGGGUUUAGGGUUAGGGUUUAGGUUUAGGUUAGGGUUUAGGUUUAGGGUUUAGGGUUUAGGGUUUAGGGUUAGGUUUCAGGGUUUAGGGUUUAUAGCUUUUAGGGUUUAGGGUUUAGGGUUUAGGUUUAGGGAUUUAAGGGUUAGGUUGGGUUAGGGUUUAGGUUUAGGUUAGGGUUUAGGUAUAGGGUUUGAGGUUAGGGUUUAGGGUUUAGGGUUAUGGUUUUAGGUUAGGAUUUAGGGUUUAGGGUUAUGGGUUUAGGGUUUAGGGUUAGGGUUUAGGUUUAGGGUUAAGGUUUAGGUUAGGUUUAGGGUUAGGUUUAGGGUUUAGGUUUAGGGUUUAGGGUUUUUAGUGGUUUAGGGUUCAGCGUUUAGGGUAAGGUUAGGGUUUAGGGUUUAAGGGUUUAAGGGUUUAGGCGUUAGGGUUUAAGGGUUAGGUCUUAGGUUUUGGGUUUAGGGUUUAGGGGUUAGGCGUUUAAGGUAUAGGGUUUAGGGUUUAGGGUUUAGGGUUUAGGUAAGGGUUUAGGUUUAGGGUUUAGGGUUAGGGUCUAGGGUUUACAGGUUUUAGGGUUUAGGUUUAGGGUUAGGGUUUAGGCUUUAGGGUUUAGGGUUUAGGGGUUAGGGUUAGGUUUUGGUUUAGGGUUUAGGGUUUAGGUUAAGGUUUAUGGGUUUAGGUUUUAGGUUUAGGUUUAGGUUUAGGUUUAGGUUUCGGGUGUUAGCGGGAGGGUUAGGGUUAGGGUUUAGGGUUAGGUUUAGGGUUAGGUUUUAGGGUUUAGGGUUUAAGGGUUUAGGGUUAGGGUUUAGGUUUAUGUGGUAGGGUUUAGGGUUUAGGGUUAGGGUUAGGGUUUAGGGUAGGUUAGGGUUUAGGGUUUAGGGUAGGUUUAGGGUUUAGGGUUUAGGCUUAGGUUUAGUUGUAGGGUUUAGGUUAGGGUUUAGGUUUAGGUUUACGGGUUUAGGGUUAGGGUUUAGGUUAGGGUUUAUGGUUUAGGUUUAGGGUUUGGGUUAGGGUUUAGGUUUAGGGUUAUAGGGUUUAGGGUUUCAGGGUUUAGGGUUUAAAAAGGUUUAGGUUUAGGUUUAGUUAGGGUUUAGGGAUUAGGUUAGGUUAGGUUUAGGUUUAAGGGUUUAGGUCUUACGGUUUUAGGGUUAGGUGUUUAGGUUUAGGGUUUAGGUUUAGGGUUUUAACGGUUUAGGUUAGGUUUAGGUUUAGGGUUUAAGGGUUUAGGUUGAGGGUUUAGUGGUUUAGGUUUAGGUUUGGUUUAGGGUUAGGGUGUUUAGGGUUUUUAGGGUUUUAGGGUUUGGUUUAGGGUUUUAGUGUUUAGGGUUUAGGGUUUUAGUUUUAGGCUUUAGGUUUUAGGGUUUAGGGUUAGGGUUAGGGUUAGGGUUUUAGGGUUAGGGUUUAGGGUUUUAGGGUUAGCGGUUUAGGGUUUAGGUUUAGGGUUUAGGUAUAGGGUUUAGGGUUUAGGUUAGGGUUUAGGUUAGGCGUUCAGGGUUUAGGGUUAGGUUUAGGGUUAGAGGUUUAGGCGUUAGGUUUUAGGGUUUAGGGUUUAGGGGUUUUAGGGUUUAGGUUUAUGUUUUAGGGUUUAGGGUUUAGGGUUAGGGUUUAGGGUUUAGGUUUAGGUUUAGCGGUUCUAGGUUUAGGGUUUAGGGUUUAGGGUUAGGUUAGGUUAGGGUUUAGUGGUUAGGUCUUUAGGGUUUAGGGUUAGGUUUAGGGUUUAUGGUAGGGUUUUAGGGUUUAGUUAGGGUUGUAGGGUUUUAGGUUUUAGGGUGUUAGGUUAGGGUUUAGGGUUUAGGUUUAGGUGUUUAGGGUUUUAGGUUAGGGUUUUAGGUUAGGUUUAGGGGUUAGGGUUAGGGUUUAGGUUUAGGUUUAGGUUUGAGGGUUUACGGUUUAGGGUUUAGGGUUAGGGUUAGGGUUUAGGGUUUAGGGUUAAGGGUUAGCGGUUAGGGUUAGGGUUACGGGUUUAGGGUUAGGGUUAGGUUUAGUUAGGUUUACGGGUUUAGGGUUUAGUUAGGGUUUAGGGUUUAGGGUUUAGGGGUUUAGGGUUUAGGUUUAGGGUUUAGAUUUAGGGUUAGGUUUUAGGGUUUAGGGUUUUAGGGUAUUAGGGGUAGGUUUGGUUUAGGGUUAGGGUUUAGGUUUAGGUUUAGGGUUUAGGGUUUAGGUUUAGGGUUAGGGUUUAGGGUUUAGGGUUUAAGGUUUAGGUUUAGGGUUUAGGUUUAGGGUUUAGGGUUAGGUUUUAGGGUUAUAGCGGUUUAGGUUUAGGGUUUAGGUUUAGGUUUAUGGGUUAGGGUUUAGGUUUUUAGGGUUUAGGGUUUAGGGUGUAGAGGUUUAGGGUUUAGUUUAGGGUUUUAGGUUUUAGGGUUCUAGGGUUUUAGGUUUAGGGUUUAGGGUUUAGAUGUUAGGUUUAGGUUAGGGUUAGGGUUUAGGGUUUAAAGGGUUUAGGGUUUAGGGUUUAGGUUUAGGGUUUUAGGGUUUAGGGUUUAGGGUUUUAGGGUUUAGGGUUUAGGGUUAGGAUUUUUAGGUUAGGGUUUAGGGUUUAGGGUUUAUGGUUUAGGGUUUUAGGUUUAGGGUUUAGGUUUAGGUUUAGGCGUUUAGGGUUUAGGUUCUCUGUUGUUUAGGGUUUAGGGUUAGGUUUAGGGUUUAGGGUUUGGGUUUUAAGGUUUAGGUUUAGGGCUUUAGUUAGGGUUAGGGUUUAGGGUUAAGGGUUUACGUUUAAGGGUUUAGGUUUAGGGUUUUAGGGUUGGUUAGGGUUUAGGGUUUAGGGUUGUAGGUUAGGUGUUUUAGGGUUUAGGGUCUUAGGGAUUAGGUUUAGGGUUUAAGGGUUAGGGUUUUAGGGUUUACGGUUUAAGGUUUAGGGUUUUAGGUUUAGGUUUAGUGUUAUAGGUUUAGGGUCUUAGGGUUUAGGGUGGUUUAAGGUUUAGGGUUUAGGGUUUAGGUUUAAGGGUUUAGGUUUAGGGUUAGGUUAGGGUUUAGGGUUUCAAGGGUUUAGGUUUAGGUUUUAGGGUUGUAGGGUUAGGGUUAGGUUUAGGGUUUAGGGUAGGUUAGGGUUUAGGGUUUAAGGUUUAGGGUUAGGUUUUAGGUUUUAUUGUUUAGGUUUUAGGGUUAGGUUUUAGGGUCUUAAGGUUUUAGGUUAGGGUUUAAGGGUUUAGGGUUCUAGGGUUUAGGUUUAGGUUUAGGUUUAGCGGUUUAGGGUUAGGUAUUAGGGUUUAGGGUUUUCGGGGUUUAGGGUAGGGUUAUAGGGUUUAAGGGUUAGGGUUUAGGGUUUUAGGGUUUCAGGUAGGGUUUAAGGGUUUAGGGUUUAGGGUUUGAGGUUUAGGGUUUAGGGUUUAGGGUUUAGGGUUUAGGGUUUAGUUUAGAGGUUAAGGGUUUCAGGUUUAGGUUUAAGGUUUAGGGAUAGGGUUUUAGGGUUAGGGUUAGGGUUUAGGUUUAGGGUUUUAGAGUUAGGGUUAGUUUUAGGGUUCGGGUUCUAGGGUUUAGGGUUUAGGUGUCUUAGGGUUUAGGGUUAGCGGUUUAGUUUAGGGUUUUAGGGUUAGGGUUUAGGGUUUUUAGGUGUUUAGGGAUUAGGUUUAAGGGUUAGGUUUAGGGUUUAGGGUUAAGGUUUACGCGGUUUUAGGGUUUUAGGGUUAAGGGUUAGGGUUGGUUAGGUUUAGGGUUUAGGGUUAGGGUUUAGGGUUUAGUUUUAGGGUUUAGGUUUAGGGUUAGGGUUAGGUUAGGGUUAGGGUUUAGGGUUCUAAGGGUUUAGGGUUUUUAGCGGUUAGGGUUUAGGGUUUAGGUUUAGGUUUAGGUUUAGGUUUAGGGUUUAGGUUAGGGUUUAGGUUUAGGGUUAGGUUUAGGUUUAGGGUUUAGGUUUAGGGUUUAGGGUUUUAGGGUUUAGGGUUUAGGGUUAACCGGUUGGCGUUUGGGGUUUUAGGGUUUAGGGUUAAGGGGAUUAGGUUAGGUGUUUAGCGUUUGGGUUAGGGUUUAGGGUUUAGGGUUACGGGUUUUAGGGUUAGGGUUUAGGGUUACGUUUAGGGUUUAGGGUUUAGGGUGUUAAAGGGUUUAGCGGUUUAGGUGUUAGGUUUAGGGUUAGGGUUUAGGUAGGGUUUAGGGUUUAGGUUUAGGGUUUAGGGUUUUAUAGGGUUUAUGGGUUCUUUAGGGAUUCUAGGGUUUAGUGGUUUAGGUUUAGGUGUUUCUAGGGUUUAGCGUUUAGGCGUUAGCGGUUUUAGGGUUUAGGGUUAGGUAAGGUUUUCAGGUUUGGGUUAGGGUUUAGGUGUUUAGGUUUUAGGGUUAUAGGGUUUAGCGGUUAAGGGUUAGGGUUUAGGGUUUAGGGUUAGGUUUAGGGUUUAGGGUUUAGGGUUUGUUAUAGGGUUAGGGUUAAGGGUUAGGGUUUGGGUUAGGGUUAGCGUGAUGGGUUUAGCGGUUAGCGGUUUAAGGGUUUAGGGUUUAUGGGUUUUAGGUUUAGGGUUAUUAGUGGUUAGGGUCUAGGGUCUAUGGUUUCAGGUUUAGGUUUAAGGGUUCUCCGGGUUUAGGUGUUAGGUUUAGGUUACGGGUUUCACGGUUAGGGUUUGAGGGUUAGGGUUUAGGUAGGGUUUAGUGGUUAUAGGGUUUAGGGUUUAGGGUUUAGUUAAGGGUUUUAGGUUUAGGGUUUAGGGUUUAGGGUUAGGGUUUAGGGUUUAGCGGUUAUAGGGAUUUAGGUUUAGGAGUUAUUAGGGUAUCUAGGGUUUUAGGGUUUAGGGUUUCAGGUCAUUAGGGUUUAGGGUUUUAGGGUUUAGGGUUAAAGGUUAGGGUUUAGGGUUUAGGGUUUAGGGUUUAGGGUUUAGGGUGG
rnacentral:lncRNA from 1 species